rnacentral:lncRNA from 1 species
UAAUCAUCUGGGUAAUAAAUCUUACAUUAGCAUUUGUCUGAGUACAAUUUGGGCCAAAGUCCAGAGAAUUCUACUUUCCUUAGAACUCUUGGUGACAAAACACUCCUCUACUGAUAGUCUCGACAAGAAAGUUCUAUUCCAGGCAUUGGGUGUUAACAUUAGGGACACAAUAGUUAAUGAGAUCACCUUUCCUACGAGAUCCAAUCAUCUCCUUUUUCAUACACAGGAGACCUAGAAGCUAUUCCCUCAUGUACGUAAGAAGAACGGGUCUUAUCUCACUGACUAUUUAGAAGACCUGCCUCUAAAUAGAUCCUGCCACAAAUGGCCAGGAUCCUGGAGGAACUCUAGGAAAAGCUCCCGAUCCUUGCUUAGCUGAACUACUUCUCCAGGCUUUUCCCAAGGUAGCUAGAAAGAGGUUUCCUGGAAUUGUUUAUGAGGAUGCCAGAAGGUCAGCCAAAGUUCCCAGUCCCAACAGUCAUUUGUUCCUCCACCCUUACUAGAGUAACAAUACCAUAUGUUGCCCCAACAGACCUAUUCACACAUACUGAACACCUAUGAUGUGCCAAUGACAGUGCAAGGUGCUGGGGAGAAGGGAGCAGGUUCAGAAAAACAUGAUGAUGAUGAUGAUGAUGGCAAAUAUGCGAAAGCACAUAUUUAUAAUAGAUCAAGACCUGUGCUACAAGCACUGGCUUAUUUCAUCCUUACAAGAACAAAAUGAGAUGAAUAAUAUUAUCUCCAUUUUCUAGGUGAGAAAAUGACUUCUCCCUCCAGGAAACUGAAAAGCAGAGUAGUUUGUCUAUGUUCAACUAGGAAGCAUCAAAGUAGUUAAAAAUGGUCUUUGAAAUCCAGCAGCCCCAGAAGGAAAGCCCAGUUCUGUCCCUUAGUAGCUGUGUGACCUUGGAGAACUAAUGUCACCACUUUGUCAAGUGGAUAAUAAGUAGAGGCUCAAAUCAGCACAAAUGCAUUGAGUGCCUUGGCCCAUUAAUAACAUCUGUCACGUAUUUGGGAUGUGCCUCACAUGUAUGCCCAGAAUUUGCCAAACUAUGCCAAGUACUUUACAGGCAUGAACUCAUUUUAUCCUCCUAAUACACCAGGAGAUAAGGACUUAUUAUUUUACUGAAGAGAAAAUGGAUGUUCCAAGAGGUUCAAAUAACUUCGCAAAGGUCACCCAGCCAGUAAGUGGUCCAGCUGCAAUUUGAGUGCCCCUCUAUCUGCCCUAGUACCCUGGGUCUUAACCACUCUGCUGUCACCCACUCAACAUUCCAGGAACUCCAGACAGCCCAGUUUCUUCUAGAUAAUGUAUUUUUUUUUUUUUUCAUUUUAACUGAGGGCCUAACCCAAAAGAUCCACUGUAAGUGGUAUAAAUCUCAGGUUGAAAGAGUUUCAGGUGGAUGAGGUAGGCUCUUUCAUCACUGAUAGAUGAUACUUUGGAAAUCAGAAACUCUUCCCUGGGAAACUAGAGUUUAUUUCAAAUAAGAGGAGGUGUGGAGGUAAAUGGGGGAAUGCAGAAGGAAUGUAGGAGAAAUCUGAAGGCCUAAGGAGGUGGACUUUCUUAUGGAUUCAAAAGCAAACCAACAAUAACCUUGCCUUUGGCCAAGCCCCUGUCAAGAAGGCAAUGCCUCUGGGUCUCCGAGCAUUUUAGGGUAAGGACAGGAUGCUAAAGAGAUUCUAGCCCCUAUGGCAACCUCAGUUACUGAUAGUAGCUGCUGGGAGAGCUGUAUUAAGAAUAACCUAAGAAUUCCCUUUGUGGCUCAGCAGUAACAAACCCUACUAAUCUCCAUGAAGAUGUGGUUUCUAUCCCUGGCCUCCCUCAGUGGGUUAAGGAUAUGGCAUUGCCAUGAGCUGUGGUAUAGGUUGCAGAUGAGGCUGGGAUCCCAAAUUGCUGUGGCUGUGGUGCAGACUGGCAGCUGCAGCUCAGAUUCAACCCCUGGCCUGAGAACUUCCAUAUGCCUCAGGUGCAGCCCUAAAAAGACUUAAAAAAAUAAAAUAAAAUAAAAUACUAAUCUAUAUACAGUACUAUAUAUAAAAUAGACAACCAACAAGGACAUACUCUAUAACACAGGGAAUUGUACUCAAUAUUUUAUUGUUGUUUUAUGGCUGCACCAAUGACAUAUGGAAAUUCCCAGGCUAGGGAUCAAAUUGGAGCUGGAGCUGCUAGUCUGUGCCACAGCCAUAGCCAUACCAGAUCUGAACUGCAUCUGCAACCUAUGCUGCAAUUUGCACAACAUUGGAUCCUUAACCCACUGAGUGAGGCCAGGGAUCAAACCCUCAUCCUCAUAGAGACAACACUGGGUCCUUUACUCACUGAGCCACAACAGGAACUACCUCAAUAUUCUGUAUUAACCUAUAAGGGAAAGGAAUCUGAGAAAGAAUAGGUAUAUAUAUAACUGAAUCACUGUGCUGUACACCUCACACUAACACAACAUUGUAAAUCAGUUACACUUUAAUUUAAAAAAGAAGAGGAAGGAUCAUGAAACUCUGCCCAGGCUCAUCUGGGGGAAAAAAUGCCUUCAUCCAUCAAUAAUUUCUGCCACACAUUUGAGAGUGAGAAGAGCCUCACACAGUGUCCAGAAUUUGCCAUUUCUGCUUUAGGGACACACCCUGUCAGAGGAGGCAACUGGGUUCAGGUCCAGGGAGGGAGCCAGAAUGUCCCAAAGGCACCCUGCUUCUUCCCACUUCGCAAACUGGGGCAAAAGGGCAUUGACAGAAAGAAAAGACCUAAUUUGAAUUCCUUUGGUUCUAAUUAUGUUGGAAAGAGAGGCUGGCCACCAAAGCCAAGACCCUUCAGGAAGAAUGAAAAACCGAAGAGACUGGGCCAGCUAGAGCAGAGUGAGGGAGAGUUCCAGCCAAUUAGCCUUCCUUUGUGACAUGGUCACCCUUCACCCCACUCUCUGGAAGCCUUAACAACACUCAUGUGUCAAUGGGACCUCAGGAGAGGGGGAAAAAGCGGUGAGCCAAACCUCAAGAGUGGAGGGGAAAAAUAAAAAAGCAAAAUCUGGAAUUCGAGCUCAAAGCUGGCUUUGCUAUUGUCAUUAUUUUUUAUAGAACCCUCCCUGGGCUUUCCUGACUGCCAGGAACUUGUCCUCAGACUUUGAGGGGCCACAUCAUCCCUUUUCAGCCUUGCUACCUCCUUGGCAAACAGGCUGAAGCCACCAUCUCAAAGUCAACAGGCUUGCACACCCCAAAUCCUCAGGUGGGUCAGAUUUUCCAGGGCUAGACUCUUAAAAGAGAAGCUUUCUUACUGUUAUAGGCUUCAAGUCCUCUUCAAGGAGAUUAAACCCAAAAGCCUCUGGCCAUGUCUCAUUAUAAUGCCCCUUCCUCAACCUUGACCAGCCUGGGCUGCUCACUCCCUGCUAGAGAAGGAAUGUUGCCCAUUGCUCAACUGGCCACCAUGUAGCCUGAUCCCCAUGCAAAUAAGGUAUCCUGCCCAAGACCAAUCAGAAGAUCAAAUUGGGUCUCCACUGAGGUCCACAUUGUGGGGUAUAAAGACUACCGCAGAGUAAGUCAGCCCUCUUUUUUAACCUGAGCGCACAUGAGUCCUCUCUCUCCCUCUCUGAAAAUUACUUUCGCUUUAAUAAAUUUGUAAACCAUCAGCCGUUCCAAUGCUUUGCUAUGGCAAAACGGGGACAGAGGAAACUGACUGUAUCACUACCGUUCCCUUUAAUAAGCAGUUUUUACAGGGUGCUAAAUGCCCUUUAAGGAAUCCAGAAGCCCAAAGCAGUCCCCUGGGUUCCACGAAACCCCAGCAUUGCAGAGGUAGCAGGAGGCAGAGGUCCAGAUCCAAUUAGUCUCCAGGGGACUGCUUGAUUCAGGCUGUCAGGAGACGGGUGGGAAGCUGCUGUGACCUGUAGCCUUGAUCCAAGGCUCUGGUAGGUCCUGGCUGGAAGGAGCCCCGUCUCCCCAAGAUGGGGGCUCUAGAGAGGAUAGGAUAGGAAAUAUUAUGAUCUGUGUUUAAGCAAGGUGGAAUUUGAUAUAUGGAAAACAUUUUUGCUCUACUGACUACCUUAAUGAUUUGGAUUCACAAAGGUGCAAGGGAAGCUUAAUUUGAAGCUGGAGAAAACUGAAUAGCUGUACCUAAUAGAAUAAGAAAAAAUGUGGACUUUGGGGAGCAAUCCAGAACAGAAAGUGAAAGGUGCCGGGAAAGAAAGUGGCCUGAAGCUAGGGCAACUCGCCAAUCCCAGGGCUUGGAGGGGACCGUCUGGGAACAGAAAUACCUGAUGUUCAGUUUGAAGUUCUUUGCUUUUUGACACUAUAAAAUGUUCUUCUUGACACUAUAAAGUGUUCUUCUAUACCCCAACCACAGCUCAGAAUUUCAGUAAAAUCUAAUAAAUACAUGCAGAGCUUUGUGUGAAUGGGGCUUUUAUGCAAAUCCAGGAAAGGCCUGAGUUUCACUGCUGGGUAGAUGAGGAAAAGAGAUAGUUUGUGUGUGUUGGCAAACUCAGGUCGCCAGGGUUAGGGACCAGGGUGACACUGAAUUCAAUCUCUAAGAACUAACUAGAUCUUCCAUGCUUUCUCCACUUCUAAGGGCAAAGUGAAUUGGAUUGCUAGUUUCCUUUUACUGUUUUCAAUUUUCUUCUCCAUGUUUAAGAUGUAUCAGGGCAUCACAGAGAGAAGUAGUAAAGAAUACAAAAUUUAGGAUUUAAAUAGAUAGGGGUCUGAAUUCCAACUCCACUUUACUAUGCGAUCCUAAGCCUGGGGUUCCUAAUCUAUUAAACGGGAAUAAAUAAUGUGUUCUUUAUAGUGAUGAUUCCUUGUAAAGGAUCAAUGAGAUAAAACUAUAUGCAGUGUUUGCUCUGGUAACUGAUACAGAGUAACACUCAAUGAAUGGUAGUUGCUCUUGUUUGCCUAUUAGUAGUGGUGGUGGUGACUAUGGUGAUAAUGACACCACCAUCAAAAUGACAAGGGCUCUUCCUUGUCAUACAGCUCCCACAGUUAGAGGAGGGGAAAAAGGACUGGUCAAAUAGACCUUUAAGACAAAGGGAAAUUGCCCUUAUAAAUCCAUUUUACUGAUCUUCAUUGGCCAUAAAGUGAACAUGAAAUAACUUUACCAUGCUUAUUACUGAGAUACAAAGAUUGUUUCUUACCAAAAUAACCUUGCAUGUACAAAUGACCCUGCAUAUGCUAAUGCAGGCACCACCCACACCAGCCAAGUUUGUGGGUGUUAAAAGGAAAGAGGUGGGUGAAUUAGCCAUGAAUUUAUAGACACAAUUGAAUAAUAACCUCUGCCCAAAGCCUUAUCAAAUCAAAUGCAUUGUGAUUGGCUUUUCUCUCAUGCCAUCUAAUCUUUCCCCUGUUAGGUUUCAAGUGGAUUAUUUUUCUCCCUGGGAGAUUUUAUAA